AAGAAUUCUCCAAAGUUGAGGUAUGUGGGUUGAUUGUGGAAACCUUCCUUUCCACAAGUCCAACCAUUUAUCCUCUAUUUUACUUCAAGUUUAUGGGUCCUUAUGAUCAUUUAUGAACUCUUGAAUUAUGGAAUUAUUACUACACAUCCUAUUAUGGUCUAUUUUUGUAUAUUAUCAUGAAAUGGAAUGAUUAUAUGAUGUUUAUGGUUUUCAUGCCUCCAUGAUCAAAUUAUGAAGGUUGUUAUAUAUGUAUAUAUAUAUGUAUGUUGUUGGUGGGCUGUUUUAUAUGGAUUUUGAAAUUGGUUGGACUUAGUACUCUUGAAACACAUGAUUUUAUUUACAUGAACAAGUAGCCCACCAUAUGUUUGAUAAAAUGCCAUUUAUAGAAUUCUUAUGAAAUGGAAGGUCCAAUGUACGUCCUAUGAGUCGGAUGAUUAUAUAAGUAUUGAAAUAAUGAUGAAAUGGAUACAUGUAUAUGAUUUUCUCUAUAUAGUGUGUGAGUCGACCAAGCCUAGUACGGUGGGUAGUAGGCCCGUAUAACCGUAUCGAGGGGUUGGUACCUUGGUUGCCUAGUACGGGGGGUAGUAGGCCCGUAUAACCGUAUCGAGGGGUUGGUACCUUGGUUGCCUAGUACGGGGGGUAGUAGGCCCGUAUAACCGUAUCGAGGGGUUGGUACCUUGGUUGCCUAGUACGGGGGGUAGUAGGCCCGUAUAACCGUAUCGAGGGGUUGGUACCUUGGUUGCCUAGUACGGGGGGUAGUAGGCCCGUAUAACCGUAUCGAGGGGUUGGUACCUUGGUUGCCUAGUACGGGGGGUAGUAGGCCCGUAUAACCGUAUCGAGGGGUUGGUACCUUGGUUGCCUAGUACGGGGGGUAGUAGGCCCGUAUAACCAUAUCGAGGGGUUUGUACCUUGGUCCCUAGCUCGGGGGGUGGUAGGCCCGGGUAACCACAUUGAGGGGUUUGUACCUCUUUCGCCUCUCCAAGGGGGUGGUAGGCCUUGGAAAUACUAUAUUGAUGGUCACUCGCCACACAUGUACUACGUCCCACUAAAUAUGAUUUUUAUGUAAGCAUCAUUAUACAUAUCAUCUCAUUAAUAUGCUAUCUAUCGGGUAUGAUUAUGCAUUUUUCCUAUGAUGUCCAUCUAUUGUAGCAUUGCAUUGCAUCCCAUAUACUUAGUACAUUCAAACGUACUAAUGCAUACUCUAUGCCUACAUGAUGUCACCAUGUAGGGACCGGAGCACCGCUUGACCAUCCUCCUCCGCGUGGCUAAUACGAUUUCCUAUCAAGGUUAUUGGUGAGUCCUCCAUUCCGGGGACGUUGCUCAUGAUCUUUUGCUAUGUAUAAGACCUUUCUUUUUAGUUAUGUUUUGACUAUGAGGGUGAGCCCGGUAGUUUGUCUUGGCCCCCGCUAAGUACUCAUGUUUAGAGGUGGUGUUGGACAAGUUGUGUAUUAUGCUUGAGCUUGACUCAUCUAUGGUAUUUAAGUAUCAUUUCUUUU
rnacentral:lncRNA from 1 species